AGCCCCUGACCUUGAACCUGGGA
rnacentral:miRNA from 1 species